AACACAUGCAAGCGAGGGGCGAGCACAGGAGCAAUCUGAGGUGGCGACCGGCGCACGGGUGAGUAACACGUAUGCAACCUGCCUGUAAGCGGGGAAUAACCCGUUGAAAGACGGACUAAUACCGCAUAAUACUAAAUUACUGCAUGGUAAUUUAUUUAAACAUUUAUGGCUUACAGAUGGGCAUGCGCAUGAUUAGCUAGUUGGAGAGGUAACGGCUCCCCAAGGCAACGAUCAUUAGGGGUUCUGAGAGGAAGGUCCCCCCACACUGGUACUGAGACACGGACCAGACUCCUACGGGAGGCAGCAGUGAGGAAUAUUGGUCAAUGGACGAGAGUCUGAACCAGCCAAGUCGCGUGCAGGAAGAAUGUCCUAUGGAUUGUAAACUGCUUUUGCAGGGGAAUAAAGUGCAUCACGUGUGAUGUUUUGUAUGUACUCUGCGAAUAAGGAUCGGCUAACUCCGUGCCAGCCGCCGC
rnacentral:rRNA from 1 species